CAUUUCAAGAAAAGUUGGGACAUUAAAGACUGUAAAGUCAAGGAAUCGAGAGAAAUCUCAGUCCGUUUAGAGCAAGGCAGGAAGCCUCUGUUGAAUGUGCGUGAACUUUGACCCUUGGCAUUGCAUUAGAGUUAGGGCUGCACGAUUAAUCACAAUUUACAUGUAAUCGCACUUCAAUCGAGAUGGCUUAUUGCAAUUUUGAAAUUGCAAAGGCUGCCAUUAUCUUUUACGCGCAGCUCGUCAUUGAUAUACGGCUCUGUAAACGUUGCUCCAUCUGAAAGCACUGUGAGUUGGGUCACUUAUAACGUGCAUUAUAAAGCAACACGCGUAAAACAACAUUCCAAACGCGAGAAGCAUGAACCUCUUGUCCAACAAAACAAAAAGCACCAUUUAAUUACAUGCAUUUACUCCAAACUCACUUCAUAACGACCGAUUAGCAUAAUUUGUGAUAUGAUGUGGCUUCUUACACAGAAUAAGACAGUCUUGUAUUUAUAAGUCAUGUUUAAUCAAAGCAUUUCAGUGUUCUCUUUAUUCAGCUACAUCGAUAUGGAUUUUCUGGAAUGAUGAUGCGUAUAAUUCUACUUCUGCGAUGGGGCUUAUUUAUCGUGUCUGUGUGAGAGCGCCCUCUGGCGUUCAAAUGGAGCAGCAUUUACUACCGGUCAACAGCACUACAUUGAAAAGCUGCACAUAAAAUAUCACAGCCUUUGCCAAAUCACUUGCAGUUUUAUUUCGUUAAUUGUGCGGCCCUAAUUAGAGUCCAUUAUACUACUUAAAUCUACUGUCUUAAAUAUAAUCAUGUUGGCUUGGGAGUUCUUUGGAAAACCAAAUCUGCUUCUACAUCAAGAAAUGACACUUGAAUCUCUGAAACGCCUAUACAUCAAUUUUAUGCAGAGAUGGUGGAGAGUUCUCAGGGCCCAAGCUCAUCUCAGAUGGAAAUGUGUGCUGUGGUCAGAUGAGUCCAUUUCAGCUUGUUUUGGGGAAAAACUGACUGAGUUCUCAGACCCAAAAAAGAAAAGGACCACCCAGAUGUUCAUAAGUGACAGGGUAUGUGGGUCUUGAAUAUGUGUGAAGGUAUGUGGAGUAUAUUGGAGUUUUACAGAGACAAAAUAAUUCCAUCUUUCCUGGGAAAUCGAUGGUCAUUACGGCAAAACAAAGCCAAGCCUCAUUCUGCACAUGCUACAACAGACUGGUUAAAUGGACAAUACACCUGCAGCCUAGAUCUGUCUUCUAUUGGAAAUGUAUGGCCCAUCAUGAAAAAAAAAUGUUGUGUCAGGUGAGAUUGGUCAAAAAUUCCCCCUGCAAGACAGCAGCAAUUACAGUAGUAUCCUCAAUUCCCAAACGCUUAAAUGGAUAAAACAAGAAAUGCAAAGAGUGCUAUGGGGUAAAACAAUCAUAGUAUCCAAUUCCAAGUGCUCAUUGGAUAAGCGAUAGUUAAACAUAGGCUGACCUGGAUCUACCGUACAGGUAAUCUGGGCACAUGCCAUGGGGCCCUUAGGCAGAUAGGGAGUGAUGGGACUGGGAUGGGAGUGAGAACUCUGUGAUGGGAGUUUUUUGUGUGUGUGUGUGUGUGUGUGUGUUACAUAAAAAUAGUAUACACAUGCCUCGAUCUUGAUAAUUGUUAACACAGUGUGGGUUUUGUGUCUUGUUCCUUGUUGGUCAUGUGAUUUAGUGUUUGUCAUGUGGUCCUGCCAUGUGUCGUGUCUGAUUAUUGUUCACAGGUGUUCCUUGUCUUGUAAUUAGUCUAGUGUAUUUAAGCUCUCUUGUUUGCCCUGUGUCUUUUUCUAGUUACCAGUGAAAGUUCCCUGUCGUUGUUCUAGUUUCCAGUUUCUAGCCUUUGUUUUUAAUGUUUGAUCGUAUGUUUAUUAUUAAAGUUUCAUUUGGGUUUGCUACGUCUUGCCUUGUUGCGUUGUUUACAUCUUACUGAUUCAAGAUCAGUUUAACAACGAGUUAAGAUUAAAAGAGUGGAAUUAAUAUGAAACAGAUUCACAGUCAGAUUACGAGUAAAAGUGUGGGGAAAUUAUUGGAAAGGAAAAAAAGCCGGUUUUCUGCACUGUACUUAAUGACCAUCGAGUCCGAUCUGGUGAGGGAGCUGGACUUUGAGGAUUUGAUCUGCAAAUUUGCAAAGAAAAAGACAAGAAAGAAGAACUUCUAAAGAGUUUGAUGAUACCCCUGAAGCAUAACUUACAAGCGGCCCUGCUCCAAGUCGUCUGACCCUUUUAAAACAGGCCAAUUAUAGCGCAUUAAUGGUGGUGCCAUUUUAGAAAGAUCUGGAGCAGAAUCACCACAUCUAAAGCCUCUGGUCACCACCAUAUGGAAGAGAGGAGCGUUAACAUUCUUCAAAAUCAAAUCUUCUUCAAAUUCUUCAAAUCUUUUGUGUUCCACCGAUGAAAGAAAGUGAGGCGGGUUUGAAAUGAGUUAACUCUCCAAUACCUUAUUUCACAACUGGCCCCAAAAGUGUCUGGUGGACCCCAUAUACCUCCAUUAUAUGACUGAAAG